rnacentral:ncRNA from 5 species
GAGCUUUUGGCCCGGGUUAUACCUGAUGCUCACGUAUAAGACGAGCAAAAAGCUUGU